rnacentral:lncRNA from 1 species
UCUGAAGAAGAUUGACAUUUACUGUUCAAUUAGAGAUUUAUUGCUAAGCGUUGUGGUGCUAUAAGUUAAAAAGUUGGCAGAACUACAGAGGAGGUGGAACUUCGGGUGGUCCUUGAAGGAUGAAUGAAGAAUGGGCAGUGGCACAUGGGAGUUUGGGCAUUGAAGAGCCUGGGCUGACAUAGAGGAAGAUGUAGGUUAGUGAGGAAUGGGAAACAGGAUUGGAGAAGUGGGGCAGGGUCAAAUAGGGAGAGUCUUGAAAGCACAAGAGUGGAGAUUGGAUUUGAUUCUGGGGCAGUAGGGAGUCAUUAUGGAUUCUUGAACAAUGACACAUCAUGAAAAAUGUGGUGUUUGGAAAGGUUAAUCUGGGAUAAUAUGAUUUAAUAAGUGGAGAAGAGAAGGGUAGAAUCUAGGGAGAUGCAAAAGUGAUCUGGAGGUGAGGGGGAGGAGCUUUGGUCUGGGUUGGUGGCAGAAAGGAUGGGGAGUCAGGGAUGCCAUUGAGACACAUUUUUAGAGGUAUAAGUGUGGGGACUUGUUGAUAAUCUAGUGAUGGGGGAGAGGAAAAUGAAGCCCAUGAGGAAAAUGAAGUAGCUGGGUUGAGGAGCCUAGAGGACUGACAGUGUCUGACUGAUGGACAGGUGUGGGCUGGUUGAAGACAGGACCUGGUUUUGCAGGGCAGAUAAUGUUGUUAGCUUUGGACAUGAAGCAUGGGGGGGGCGACUCAGGGAAAUCCAGAUGGAGUUGUUUUGUCAGCAGUUGGAAAUGUGGGAC